rnacentral:rRNA from 1 species
UCCGUAGGUGAACCUGCAGGAAGGAUCAAUUAUACGCUUUCCACAUUCUCACGAAUCAUCUGUGCGCGCAGCUUUUCGUUGCGAAGGUUGACGGCACUUGUGCUCGAUACCACUGCUAACCUUUUUUUCACUUUUUUGUGAUUCUUUACUUUUUUCUUUUACAACUUUUAGCGGUGGAUGUCUCGGCUCAGGCAACGAUGAAGGACGCCGCAAAAUGCGAUAAGCUUUGUGAAUGGCAGAAUUCCGCGAAUCAAUAGAAUGCUGAACGCAUACUGCACUCUCAGGUUACUCCUGAGAGUAUGUCUAAGUCAGGGCGUUUAUACUAUCAUGCGUGAUAUGAUGCUCGUGCUUCACGUCGUCGUAUCUCUGCGUUUGUGUGUGUCAGCGACGUGCUUCCGGUGACGCAUUAAAUACUGCAACUCUUCUGUUUGCUCUACCCCCGCUAGGUGAAUCCAGUAAUCUCAGCCGGUAGUAGUAGUGACAGUAUUCGUUUGCUGUUUUUUUUUGUUGCGCAUGACUUUAGACAAGAUUACCCGCUGAAUUUAAGCAUAUCAAU